AGUACAUUAGAAAUCUCUGGAACCUUCAGGUAUAUAAAGAUGACGAUGACCUGAAUUAGUUUCUGAGAGAUUGAACACUUUGAAUAUAACAACCAUUCCUGCGAUAUUCUGAGAUCCUGCAUACAGUACAACAAUGCCUCCUCCCGGUGUGUGUAUGAGUAUAAUGCAGGAGCGCCACAAGAAAGAGGGUGUUGGGAGUCUUGCCAACCCAGAGAAACACAGCAACCAAGACUUUCAGCAGCUGACGCAAUACUGUUUGGCCAGGGGAGUGAGGUACAUCGAUGAGAUGUUCCCCCCAGACCAUAACUCCAUUGGUGAUGGGCUACUUCCCCCUGAUGACAUGAGCAGAGUGGUGUGGUUGAGACCAGCGAAAAUGGUACAGUAUCCAGAUUUUGUUGUUGAUGGACUUUCAAGGUUUGACUUUGGGCAAGGAAUGGUUGGAGAUUGUUGGUUUCUUGCUUCCAUUGGGGCUUUGACGUUCCAGAAGCACAUCCUGGAACAAGUAGUACCCCUAAACCAAAGCUUUAAAGAGGAUUACUGCGGAAUAUUCCACUUCAGGUUCUGGAGGUUUGGGAGGUGGGUGGACGUUGUGAUCGAUGACAAGCUACCAACAGUUGACGGCAGGCUCAUUUUUGUUCAUUCAAAAACUCCCAAUGAGUUUUGGCCUGCCUUGCUGGAGAAAGCCUAUGCCAAGGUGUGUGGCUCCUACGCAGACGUGAAUUCAGGGACCCCUUCAGAGGCUAUGAUGGACUUCACUGGAGGGGUUCACAUCACAUUCAAGCUCACUGAUGCUCCACCAAAUCUGUGGGACCUCUUGUUCAGAGCUGCCAAGUCAAAAUCGCUGAUUGGGUGUGGCACACCUCAAGGGGAAACAUCAGCAAACACAGUGGCACCCAACGGAUUAGUGAGGGGUCAUGCUUACACCGUCACUGGGGUUAAACAGAUCAUGAGCCAAGGCAUGAUAGUUAAUCUGAUCCGCCUCUUCAACCCCUGGGGCCAGGGAGAGUGGAAUGGAGACUGGAGCGAUAAGUCUUCCAUGUGGCAAACAGUGAGUCCUGACGAUCGGAAGAUGUGUCUGUCAGUGGAAGAGGAUGGGGAAUUCUGGAUGACAAUGAAACAUUUCUGUGAGCACUUCGUAGACAUGGACAUCUGCUGUCUGUGCCCUGAUUUUCUUGAUGGCAACUCCACUUGUCAUUGGACCUCUUCAUUCCAUGAUGGCAGAUGGGUUGCAGGAACCACUGCUGGUGGUUGCAUGAAUUUCCCAAACAGCUUCUGGAUAAAUCCCCAGUAUCGGGUGAAGAUUGGGGGAUUGAGCGGUGUCUGCUCUGAGACACAGGGCGACAACAACAUGUUGGUGUCUCUGAUGCAGAAGCCUGACAAGAGAAACAGACGCCUGGUCAAAAGUCUCCACAUCGGCUUCUCCAUCUUUGAGGUGUCUGACCAAUUCAAAGGACAGAGUGGGAAGUUUCCUGCCUCCUUCUUCAACAACAAUGUGCCUGUCGCCCAAUCGAAGAACUACCUGAAUGCUCGGGAAGUGAUGGAGUUCUUCAGGCUGAAACCUGGUGAAUACCUGAUCGUGCCAUCAACCUUCAAACCAAAUGAAACCGCCUCCUUCAUCCUGUCCAUCCUCUCCAAGGCAGAGACCCACAUCCAUGAAAACUCCAAUGACCAAGACAUGGAGGACAUCCUGUUUUCCCCGAAAACGCCAAAGCCCACAUCUACAGACAAAUUUGAAUACAACGGAGGAGAUGUGGAUGACAAAAGAACUCUGUUUCAGAAGUAUUCUGAUGAGUUUGAGGAGGUGAAUGCUGAACAGCUUCAGAGCUGUCUGAAUGAAAAUCUCAUCCAAGACAACUGCUUGCUGAUUACCCAUUGGGCCAGGUGUGAAUGUCCUGGGCGUCUAAUCUACCCAACCAGUAGGAAGGCCGUUGAUAGCCCAUCAGCAGACACUGAAGAAAUGCAAAGAAAACACAAGGCUUCAGCUUGGAGUCCUGUCGCAGCAUGUUGGCCUUAAUGGAUACAUCAAUCACUGGAAAACUGAACGUUGCAGAAUUUCUACGUCUAUGGAGAAAAGUUACCGUGUACAAGGACAUCUUCUUCCGCACAGAUGAAGACCGAUCUGGAAUGUUGUCAUUGAGUGAACUGAGGAACGCAAUCAUGGCUUCAGGGAUCAGGGUGGGUGAUGACAUGUUGAACCUGAUGGCUCUGCGCUACGGUGGAUCUUCUGGAAUCAUCAGCCUGGAGAGUUUCAUCAGCCUCGUCCUACGCAUGGACUGCAUGGCCAAAAUAUUCAGACAACUCAAUGAUGGAGGGGUCAUAUCUCUUCAAGAGAAUGAGUGGAUGUACAUCUCUAUGUAUACGUAAACCGAGGACCAAAUAGGACGGACAGAAGACUGCAGUUGGAAGCGUGCUGAGGUGAUGCUUUGCUGGACAAACCAUUCCUUUGCGCUGCAGCAGUUUCAGGGUGAUUUGUUGCACUUUGAGAUGUGAUGCUCCUGCAGUUCAAAGAGAACAGUCAAAAGAUUGGGUGCUUAGCAAGUGACUGUACUCUGGUUGAGUGAUGGGUUUAUAGGCUAUAAAACAUAAUGGGUUACAUUCUGGUACACAUCUGGUACAUAAUAUUUUCUAUCUGUUAAUGUGGUAGUUUGUGUUUCUGGGUAUACUGUAAGGGUUAGUAAGGUCCUAACUGUAUUUGAGUAGGGCAGUGGUGUCCAUCUCUAAUAGUUCUGGAGAGCUACUUGACAAAUAAAACAUUUCAAAUGUAACCUUUUAGGCAAGUCAGUUAAGAACAAAUUCUUAUUUACAAUGACAGCCAACACCGGCCAAACCCGGAGGACGCUGGGUCAAUUGAGCGCCGCACUAUUGGACUCCCAAUCACAGCCGGUUGUAAUACAGCCUGGAUUCGAACCAGGGUGUCUGUAGUGCCUUAAACUACUGCGCCACUCGGGAGCCCACUUGGGAGCCCACUACUGUAGGUGUUCCGUCUUUUGGUCCAGCCCUGCACUAAACACAACUGAUUAGACUGACGGUGGUCCAGACUGAGGAUCACCUGUUUAUUUGAAACAGGUGUGUUAGUGCAACAAAAAACAACAUAGAAUAACUAGACUAUUAACUAUUCAAAACUCAAAACUUUUUUUUCUAUACCAGCAACUUACAUCCAUUCGAUUUUAUAUUUGCCUAGUAGUGUAUUCUCUGCAUAUUUAGAUUGUCUACUACCUUUCAUUAUCCAUGUAACCGUGGUGAUAUAUUGGUUGUUGGGUUUUAUAUUCGUUUUUUGUUGUUGUUAAAUAGAAAUGCAGUCAAACACAACUUCUCCUAUGAUGGUUUGAAGCAAUGUUCUAUUGUCUACACAAGUAUUGGAUUAGUAAUGCGAUUAAAAACUAAAGAGGGGGUAAAAAAACGUGUUGUUCCACUCUUUAUAACACCUUCAUUGUAUUGCCUUGUAUUCAUUAAACAAGGUUACAUGCUAUUAAAUGAUUAUGUCAUCCAGGGAGAUUCUAAAUGGACACAAGCUUUGACAACAGACUUUAAUCAAAUGAUCCCUGCUGGGCUUUGUUCCUCGAAACCAGAGAGCGAGAGGCAAAAACGAGUGUUCACUCUGCCCAAAAUCUGUCCAUGUUAAGUAGAUCAUUAAUUAUUAUCCGGUUGCGGAUUUUCUGGAAACUGAUUUGCCGAUGCUAUUGAUUUGGUGAUUUGUGCAGGAUAUUUGUUUACGUGUCUGCUGCCUACAGAGAUGCUGCUUCGUGCUCCAGCCUAAGCUAAAUAAAGUCUUCAUUUUCGACCUAUGCGUUCCA